CAGUAGCCACGGGAAUACGAAGGGGGCUAGCGUGGUUCGGACUUACUGGGCAUAAAGCGCACGUAGGCGGGUCGAUCAGUCAGGGGUGAAAUCCCAGAGCUCAACUCUGGAACUGCCUUUGAUACUGUCGAUCUGGAGUAUGGAAGAGGUGAGUGGAAUUCCGAGUGUAGAGGUGAAGUUCGUAGAUAUUCGGAGGAACACCAGUGGCGAAGGCGGCUCACUGGUCCAUUACUGACGCUGAGGUGCGAAAGCGUGGGGAGCAAACAGGAUUAGAUACCCCGGUAGUCCCUGUCUCUUAUAC
rnacentral:rRNA from 1 species